GACGAACCGUGCGAACGUUGUUCGGAAUCACUGGGUUUAAAGGGCGCGUAGGCGGGCUGUCAAGUCGGUGGUGAAAUCGUUCCGCUCAACGGGACAAUGGCCUUCGAUACUGGCGGCCUUGGAGGGAGGUAGGGGCAUGCGGAACUUCCGGUGGAGCGGUGAAAUGCGUAGAUAUCAGGAAGAACACCGAUGGCGAAGGCAGUGGGCUGGGCCGGUACUGACGCUGAGGAGCGAAAGCGUGGGGAGCGAACAGG
rnacentral:rRNA from 1 species